GGGAGCUUGCCCCCUGAAGUAAGCGGCGGACGGUUGAAUAACACGUGAGUAACCUGCCUGUAAGACUGGGAUAACUCCGGGAAACCGGGGCUAAUACCGGAUGGUUGUUUGAACCGCAGGUUCAGACAUAAAAGGUGGCUUCGGCUACCACUUACAGAUGGACCCGCGGCGCAUAGCUAGUUGGUGAGGUAACGGCUCACCAAGGCAACGAUGCGUAGCCGACCUGAGAGGGUGAUCGGCCACACUGGGACUGAGACACGGCCCAGACUCCUACGGGAGGCAGCAGUAGGGAAUCUUCCGCAAUGGACGAAAGUCUGACGGAGCAACGCCGCGUGAGUGAUGAAGGUUUUCGGAUCGUAAAGCUCUGUUGUUAGGGAAGAACAAGUGCCGUUCAAAUAGGGCGGCACCUUGACGGUACCUAACCAGAAAGCCACGGCUAACUACGUGCCAGCAGCCGCGGUAAUACGUAGGUGGCAAGCGUUGUCCGGAAUUAUUGGGCGUAAAGGGCUCGCAGGCGGUUUCUUAAGUCUGAUGUGAAAGCCCCCGGCUCAACCGGGGAGGGUCAUUGGAAACUGGGGAACUUGAGUGCAGAAGAGGAGAGUGGAAUUCCACGUGUAGCGGUGAAAUGCGUAGAGAUGUGGAGGAACACCAGUGGCGAAGGCGACUCUCUGGUCUGUAACUGACGCUGAGGAGCGAAAGCGUGGGGAGCGAACAGGAUUAGAUACCCUGGUAGUCCACGCCGUAAACGAUGAGUGCUAAGUGUUAGGGGUUUCCGCCCCUUAGUGCUGCAGCUAACGCAUUAAGCACUCCGCCUGGGGGAGUACGGUCGCAAGACUGAAACUCAAGGAAUUGACGGGGGCCCGCACAAGCGGUGGAGCAUGGUGGUUUAAUUCGAAGCAACGCGAAGAACCUACCAGUCUGGACAUCUCUGACAUCCUAGAAGAAUAGACGUCCCCUUCGGGGGCAGAGUGACAGGUGGGUGCCAUGGGUGUCGUCAGCUCAUGUCGUGGAAAGUUUGGGGUAAGUCCGCCACGACGCACCCUUGAUCUUAGUGGCAGCAAUCAGUGGGGCACU
rnacentral:rRNA from 1 species